rnacentral:rRNA from 1 species
GUAGGGAAUAUUGGACAAUGGGCGAAAGCCUGAUCCAGCCAUGCCGCGUGAACGAUGAAGGCCUUCGGGUUGUAAAGUUCUUUAGCCGAUGAUUAUAAUGACUGUAGUCGGAAAAUAAGCCCCGGCUAACUUCGUGCCAGCAGCCGCGGUAAUACGAAGGGGGCGAGCGUUAUUCGGAAUCACUGGGCGUAAAGCGUGCGUAGGCGGUUUUGUAAGUUAGGAGUGAAAGCCCAGGGCUCAACCUUGGAAUUGCUCUUAAAACUGCAAGGCUCGAAUCUCGGAGAGGAUAGCGGAAUUUCCAGUGUAGCAGUGAAAUGCGUAGAUAUUGGAAGGAACACCAGUGGCGUAAGCGGCUAUCUGGACGAGUAUUGACGCUGAGGCACGAAAGCGUGGGGAUCAAACAGGAUUAGAAACCCCGGUAGUCC